AGCGGCGGACGGGUGAGUAACGCGUGGGUAACCUGCCUCAUACAGGGGGAUAACAGUUAGAAAUGACUGCUAAUACCGCAUAAGACCACAGCACCGCAUGGUACGGUGUGAAAAACUCCGGUGGUAUGAGAUGGACCCGCGUCUGAUUAGGUAGUUGGUGGGGUAACGGCCUACCAAGCCGACGAUCUGUAGCCGACCUGAGAGGGUGACCGGCCACAUUGGGACUGAGACACGGCCCAA
rnacentral:rRNA from 1 species